GUGGGGAAUAUUGGGCAAUGGGCGCAAGCCUGACCCAGCAACGCCGCGUGAAGGAAGAAGGCUUUCGGGUUGUAAACUUCUUUUAAGAGGGAAGAGCAGAAGACGGUACCUCUUGAAUAAGCCACGGCUAACUACGUGCCAGCAGCCGCGGUAAUACGUAGGUGGCAAGCGUUGUCCGGAUUUACUGGGUGUAAAGGGCGUGCAGCCGGGAAGACAAGUCAGAUGUGAAAUCCCGCGGCUCAACCGCGGAACUGCAUUUGAAACUGUUUUUCUUGAGUACCGGAGAGGUUAUCGGAAUUCCUUGUGUAGCGGUGAAAUGCGUAGAUAUAAGGAAGAACACCAGUGGCGAAGGCGGAUAACUGGACGGCAACUGACGGUGAGGCGCGAAAGCGUGGGGAGCAAACAGGAUUAGAUACCCCGGUAGUCC
rnacentral:rRNA from 1 species